UUUUCUUUUAUAUCAUUUCCCUCUCAUUCUUGAGUAUGUGGUUGUUCAAUCUCUAUUCUUUGUUCGAAACUGAUUUUGUGUUUGUUGUUUGUGCAGAUAACUUCGGCUUCCAACUUUGUGUCUCCCAUCAUUUCAGGAAAGUCACAAUGUUAUCUGAUCUACACCAGUUUGGGGAAGUCAUUUCCUUCGGUCACACUCAACUUUGCAGCUGCUGCGUCAAUAACUUUGACACCACAAGACUACCUGCUAUAUUCAGGAUCUCAUGUUGGUGCUGCUAUGUGGUGUCUAGGUUUCAAGAAAACUCGGGAAGCAAGCCGAGGCUUCACAGUAUCUUGUUCUGAGAGAUAAGAUUGUGGUAUAUGAUUUAGCCCGUCAACAACUCGGAUGGGCUAAUUACAAUUGCUCAUCACCGGUGAAUUUCUCUACGGCUUUUCACCCGACACACCGAAAUGGAAGCAGUGGCUCAUCAGGAGACACACUAAUCAAGUUGCUAAAAACUGUGACUCUGCUCCUCUUGAUGCAUUUGUUCAAUCUGUAUAUGUGAUUUACACAACUUUCAGCAUUCAAGCUUGUAUAUGUUAUGUGCACUGAGACAUAAAACCCUUUAGGGUUUGAUUUCUAUCCUCCUCUUCUAAAUAGCAAAUUAGCAAUAGAAAAGGGUCCGCAGGACCUGUGUUUUA